rnacentral:rRNA from 1 species
GACGAACGCUGGCGGCGUGCUUAACACAUGCAAGUCGAACGGAAAGGCCCUGCUUUUGUGGGGUGCUCGAGUGGCGAACGGGUGAGUAACACGUGAGUAACCUGCCCUUGACUUUGGGAUAACUUCAGGAAACUGGGGCUAAUACCGGAUAGGAGCUCCUGCUGCAUGGUGGGGGUUGGAAAGUUUCGGCGGUUGGGGAUGGACUCGCGGCUUAUCAGCUUGUUGGUGGGGUAGUGGCUUACCAAGGCUUUGACGGGUAGCCGGCCUGAGAGGGUGACCGGCCACAUUGGGACUGAGAUACCGCCCAGACUCCUACGGGAGGCAGCAGGGGGGAAUAUUGCACAAUGGGCGGAAGCCUGAUGCAGCAACGCCGCGUGCGGGAUGACGGCCUUCGGGGUGUAAACCGCUUUCGCCUGUGACGAAGCGUGAGUGGCGGUAAUGGGUAAAGGAGCACCGGCUAACUACGUG